GAAGGGACCUAGCGUAGUUCGGAAUUACUGGGCUUAAAGAGUUCGUAGGUGGUUGAAAAAGUUGGUGGUGAAAUCCCAGAGCUUAACUCUGGAACUGCCAUCAAAACUUUUCAGCUAGAGUAUGAUAGAGGAAAGCAGAAUUUCUAGUGUAGAGGUGAAAUUCGUAGAUAUUAGAAAGAAUACCAAUUGCGAAGGCAGCUUUCUGGAUCAUUACUGACACUGAGGAACGAAAGCAUGGGUAGCGAAGAGGAUUAGAUACCCUCGUAGUCCAUGCCGUAAACGAUGUGUGUUAGACGUUGGAAAUUUAUUUUCAGUGUCGCAGCGAAAGCGAUAAACACACCGCCUGGGGAGUACGACCGCAAGGUUAAAACUCAAAUGAAUUGACGGGGACCCGCACAAGUAGUGGAGCAUGUGGUUUAAUUCGAAGAUACGCGCAGAACCUUACCAACACUUGACAUGUUCGUCGCGACUUUAAGAGAUUAGAGUUUUCGGUUCGGCCGGACGAAACACAGGUGCUGCAUGGCUGUCGUCAGCUCGUGUCGUGAGAUGUUGGGUUAAGUCCCGCAACGAGCGCAACCCUCACUUUUAGUUGCCAUCAUUAAGUUGGGCACUCUGAAAGAACUGCCAGUGAUAAGCUGGAGGAAGGUGGGGAUGACGUCAAGUCCUCAUGGCCCUUACGUGUUGGGCUACACACGUGCUACAAUGGUAUCUACAACAGGAAGCAAGACUGCGAAGUUAAGCAAAUCCUUAAAAGAUACCUCAGUUCGGAUUGCACUCUGCAACUCGAGUGCAUGAAGCUGGAAUUACUAGUAAUCGUGGAUCAGCGUGCCACGGUGAAUGCGUUCCCGGGUCUU
rnacentral:rRNA from 1 species